CAUCGAUUAGGUUUCAUGUGAAGCUUUUAGGCCAGGGGCAACUUCCCGGAGGGCAGGGAAGGAAAGGAGGGAAGACCGGGGCGUUUGGGAUAGGUAGGGUUAGGCUUAGGUAGGAGAGAAUCCUAGGAUUCUGCUUAUUGCGGUGGAAGGGGAGAUGCAGAGUCCGGACACAGCGGAGAGGAUGAUAAAAUAAAGGAAUGGGAGAAUUCAGAACAGUCUAGGCACUGAGUUCCUUGGAGUGCCCUGGGAGAAAAAAACAACAUGCCUGAAUUGGGCAUAACUGCACCACAAGUGAAAUUAAGAGAAUGAAAGGGAUUCAGACAAAAGAUCAGGUCUGGACAGGAGAACUGCUAUCUUCUUUGUGUCAAAGGUUCACAAGCCAACCCAAGGCUUUUUUGGUACCCAAGGCAGUGAAUGAAUUUAGCACAUACCCUAUUCAAUAUUGUGUAUUUCCCCAGUGAAGAUCAACCAGCUGCUGACAUUAUUGGGUCUUGGACAGAAAUUAAAACCUUUUUGUGUUUUUGUAUAUGCACUGACUGUUAAAUUAUUAACAAGGUAACAUGCUAAUUUAACGUAUCCAUAUUAAGUAUGAAUAACUUUUAUUCACAGCAUAUGGUGGGUUUGAUUUCUGUGUAAGAUUUAUUCAUGUUUGUAGNUGAUUUGAGUUGUUUGUUGUUGUACACUGUUCUCUGCUUAACAAACAGCAGUAUAAACAUCUUUUAAACAGAUAAGUAUGCUUCUAUGAUUCUAUGAUAAAAAGAGGAAUUAACUUCCCUUGAUACUGAAAUAAGACUAAUCAAAACCAUACAGCCUGGUUGUAGAAUUUGCCUGCUUGGAUUUAAGGUAGGUAGUACAUGCAUACAUACACUUUCCUGAUUUGCUAUUAAGAGCAAAGCUCCUUGGACUGAAGAGGAAGAAAAACAAUGUUUCAGAAUGUCCAGUAGAAAGCAGAUAGUCUGCUGUCCUUUGGACCGUUUUGCAGUUUCUCCC
rnacentral:lncRNA from 1 species